rnacentral:lncRNA from 1 species
AACUGUUUCAGAUUUACCCAGCAUGUCUGAUACAUGCGGAAGCCCUGAGAGUGUACUACACCAGACACCGCAUUUGAAGUGCAAAUAUUCCAACAGAAGCUUCAAUGGAUGCCAGCAGGAAAGGAGUUUUUAAAGAAAAGAAAUUCUCCUCUUUUCUCUCCAGGGGAAAAUUGCUUCCUGACAGCUCUGUUUUGAUCUUUGCUGUAGUUCACCUCCACUGACAGACUUCGGGCUAUUACAGUGUAUGAGAAGGACUGAAAAGACUAUACUUGGAGACUGUCAACUGAGCUAUUUAAGCAGUGUGAGGCUAAGGGUGCGAUCCAUAAAGGGUUUUGCUGACAGUGUGUUUGCUACCAAACAGAUGUCCCACUUUUCUUCAGGUAAUGGACAGAAGCACCUAAUGGGUAAUUCAAGACAGACAUCUCUACUCCAGCAUCUCAUUGACUGACACUCAGCUUUGUUCUUAUCUUGUCAAAUUAGCUCAGUGUGCUAUUGAUGGUUUUGUUACCUGAUAGUCUCAAUGGAGAUAGAAAGAACACUCAUGUUUUCAAGUGGCUGUGUAUAUUCAGUGCAAUGGCAACUAACAGGGGAUAACUUUAAAAAGCUUCCUAUUAUAGUGUGCAGUCACCAACACAUCACCCCCUCGUGGAAGGACACAGCAUCAUAAGAACUCUUCCUCUCUAGCACCGCCUCAUGUCCUGGUUCCACAUUGGUCUGCCAACUCCAUGGCCUAACUUUCCAGCUAGAUCAGCUCUCAGUCCAGACCUCUUCCAGGAUUAGUGGAAGACAAAUUAAAUCUCAACUCAAAAUAGCCAUUUGGGUGUCAAAGUCCCUAAUAUAAACCCUAAU